AAGGGUGUGCGUCGCUCCCAACUCACGCCGCUCUCAGUGACGCGUCUGUGGGAGACCCUGGAGGCAAGCUGUGGGCCUUUUGUGAGUGUGUGUUUAUGUGAAAGCAGUGAGAAGGGGAAAUCUUUUUAGGACUUUUACUUACGGUAAUGGAGACUCGAGUGUAAGGCGAGACAAUUUAUUCGCUGAGAAUGUUUGGGAAAAGGAGUGAUUUUAACUUACGAAGUGACCGUCGUUGUAGGGAAAACAUAUACGAUGCGUUGUAAAUUGCAUCGCCAAAAGUGACCAUCACUUCAGCGAAAGAAAGUGCUGUUUGUGACCGAACACAGAGAUUAAGUCUGAGGGAAACUAUGAACAUUGAACUGGUGAACAUAAUUUGAUCGCCUGAAGCUCCGUUGUCGAUAGAGGGCAGGAAGGGGCUGUUCCCACCGGCCUCCCUCCUCCCCGACGCCAGUACGCUGCUUGCGGGUGUCUUCGAGGACGACCCACCAUGAAGAAGGAUGACCACCCACAGACCUUUUCUUCGUCUUCCUCCUCCUCUUCCUCCUCUUCCUCUUCUCCCUCGCGCUCCUCCUCCUCGACCAUGACGAUGCUCGCCCGCGCCCAUUGGGGAGCUCGACGCCC